UACGUAGGGGGCAAGCGUUGUCCGGAUUUAUUGGGCGUAAAGAGCGUGUAGGCGGCUUGGUAGGUCCGCUGUGAAAACUCGAGGCUCAACCUCGAGAUGUCGGCGGAAACCACUUGGCUAGAGUCCGGAAGAGGAGAGUGGAAUUCCUGGUGUAGCGGUGAAAUGCGCAGAUAUCAGGAAGAAUACCUAUGGCGAAGGCAGCUCUCUGGGACGGUACUGACGCUGAGGAGCGAAAGCGUGGGGAGCAAACAGG
rnacentral:rRNA from 1 species